AUUGAACGCUGGCGGCAGGCCUAACACAUGCAAGUCGAGCGAGCGGCGGACGGGUGAGUAAUGUCUGGGAAACUGCCUGAAGGAGGGGGAUAACUACUGGAAACGGUAGCUAAUACAGCAUACCAUCAGAUGUGCCCAGAUGGGAUUAGCUAGUAGGUGGGGUAACGGCUCACCUAGGCGACGAUCCCUAGCGGGUCUGCGAGGAAGACCAGCCACACUGGAACGUGGACACGUUCCAGACUCCUACGGGAGACAGCAGUGGGGAAUAUUGCGCAAGGGGCGCAAGCCUGAUGCAGCCAUGCCGCGUGUGUGAAGAAGGCCUUCGGGUUGUAGAGCACUUUCAGCGGGGAGGCGUUACCCGCAGAAGAAGCACCAGCUAACUCCGUGCCAGCAGCCGCGGUAAUUC
rnacentral:rRNA from 1 species